rnacentral:rRNA from 1 species
AUUGAACGCUGGCGGCAUGCCUUACACAUGCAAGUCGAACGGCAGCACGGGUGCUUGCACCUGGUGGCGAGUGGCGAACGGGUGAGUAAUACAUCGGAACAUGUCCUGUAGUGGGGGAUAGCCCGGCGAAAGCCGGAUUAAUACCGCAUACGAUCUACGGAUGAAAGCGGGGGACCUUCGGGCCUCGCGCUAUAGGGUUGGCCGAUGGCUGAUUAGCUAGUUGGUGGGGUAAAGGCCUACCAAGGCGACGAUCAGUAGCUGGUCUGAGAGGACGACCAGCCACACUGGGACUGAGAAACGGCCCAGACUCCUACGGGAGGCAGCAGUGGGGAAUUUUGGAAAAUGGGCGAAAGCCUGAUCCAGCAAUGCGGCGUGUGUGAAGAAGGCCUUCGGGUUGUAAAGCACUUUUGUCCGGAAAGAAAUCCUUGGCCCUAAUACGGUCGGGGGAUGACGGUACCGGAAGAAUAAGCACCGGCUAACUACGU